UGUACCAACCCAGGCUCGAGGCCAUGCUGCAUUUUACACUUUAAACUGCCAACCAGUAGUAAUUCCAAACAGUGUUAGUGAUAAAAAUCUCCUCCUCUGGGCAGCUGGCCCUUCUGCCCCUUUCAGGGCACGUGGGUGAACGGAGCAAAGACCCAGAGACAAAGGAAUUGGAGCUGUUUCCUGUCUCCGGCAGCGGUGACUGGAGGGGACAGAUCCAUAGUGACAAGCCUGCUUAGACCAGUGCUCCUAAGUGUUCCUGUCUUGAUGGAUUAGCUUGGCCAGGACAAGUUUACACAUCACUGGAGAAGUGUGAAGAGGGAGUGCGGAUGGAAAAAAAUAGAGACGCAGGAAGAGGAAAGUGCUUUCGGGGAAGAAUGAAUGGAGGCAAGGAAUGAACACAUGAAGUAGCAUCCCAUUGAAGAGUUGGGGAGAACUCAAAAUAUUAUUUUGGGGUAGGUAUAGAGGCAUGCUGUCUCUGAGUCUAUUUUCUGAUUCAUCUAAGACUUUGAAACAUCUUCUACUUUUUUUUGUCUUUACCACAGUAGACUAAAAACAAAGGUUCAGAAUGACUGUCUACACCAUCUAAGCUAAAGAUGAGGAUGGAGAUGGGGAGACUCUCCAGUCUUCAUUGACACCCCCUUAAUGAUGAAGGCCCCCUUCUGCCAAAGCAAUAAGGAAAUAAAGAAUAC